UAUAUACAUUCAGAAGUGCACAGAAGAUGUGUUUUACGUACAUGGAUUAGGUGGCUGCUUAAGGACACCCAUGCCGGCUGGAAAAUGAUGUUUCCCAAGAGUAAAGUGUGGAAGAUCGGAGGUCCUAUUAAAAUCACCUUUGGGAAGAGCUCUUCUUCAGAAGACUUCAGGUUCUUGGCUGGAAGGCCUUGAAAACAUCUGGAAAAAGGCCCCCAAAUAAUCCAGUGAACAUGAGUUUCAGGUACCCACAGUCUGGAAACAGAUGAUCCUCCUUCUGAUAAGUCAUCAGAAGGUCAAUAGUAGCCUAAUGCUUCAUCACAACGUCUACCUCAUUCAUCUUGCUUCAUCUCAUCUCAUAGACAUUUUAUCAUCUCGCAUCAUCACAAGAAGGAUGAGUACUGUAUAAAAUUAUUUUGAGAGAGAAAGACCACCUUCACAUAGCUUUUAUUAUAGCAUAUCGUUAUAAUUAUUCUAUUUUAUUAUUAGUUACUGUUGUUAAUCUCUCA